AUAAUUGCUGUCAGAAGAGUUUCAGUUUUGUCUCAAUUCUUGGGAGAGCUGGUAGAGAUCUCCCCCUUCUUUUGAUUAUGUCAAUUGCUUUGCAUACUGCUAUUAGCAAAUUACCAAGAAAUUCUUAAUUAGGGCAUUGCCGAUGUUCUGAACUUUUGAUACAUGUACGCAUCAGAGCAAGCGAGAACUGAAUCCUCAAUUUUCUUGGUGAAUGUAUGAUGCUUUCCUGCCUUGGUGCCAAAUUUUUGCAUGCGUCUUAACAUAUAAUGAUGGAUGUUUUUUUAUGGAUGCCAAUGCUGAAGUGAUACAUCCUUCAUAGUGCUACUAGCUAGCUGGUUCCAGAAGGAAACAACAUCCAAUCAGGUUCCACUUUUGUCCAAAUAGUUUCCAGGUCAAGAACAUGCAUUUAUCUUCCUGAAAGGAAAAUUGUAACUUAACUCACAAAUACAAAUGUGUUUCCAUUGCCACAUUUUGGUUGUAUUUUC